CUACGGGGGGCAGCAGUGGGGGAUAUUGCGCAAUGGGGGAAACCCUGACGCAGCAAUGCCGCGUGAAGGAAGAAGGUCUUCGGAUUGUAAACUUUUGUCUUCAGGGACGAAACAAAUGACGGUACCUGAGGAGGAAGCCACGGCUAACUACGUGCCAGCAGCCGCGGUAAUACGUAGGUGGCAAGCGUUGUCCGGAUUUACUGGGUGUAAAGGGCGUGUAGGCGGGAUUGUAGGUCAGAUGUGAAAUACCCGGGCUUAACCCGGGGGCUGCAUUUGAAACCACAGUUCUUGAGUGCUGGAGAGGGAAGCGGAAUUCCUAGUGUAGCGGUGAAAUGCGUAGAUAUUAGGAGGAACACCAGUGGCGAAGGCGGCUUUCUGGACAGUAACUGACGCUGAGGCGCGAAAGCGUGGGGAGCAAACAGGAUUAGAUUCCCGAGUAGUC
rnacentral:rRNA from 1 species